UCUGCAUAUCGUGCAAAUGAGCUACACACUGCUGUCCAUCAAACGCUUACAGGUUUGCGUUCAGUAUCGCUGACACUUCUGUUACCAGUUAUGAUGUUAAAAUCCCCUUCUGUUUUUCUGAGUCAGCCUUGAAGGAGUGAGAGUGAUGGCCCAGGCUGCUAAAGCCGUGGUACUGUAAAGGGAUCUGACUGCCCGGACAGCUGAGGAACAAAUGGCUGAGUUGUGUCCCACAUCAGCACGCUCCUUUCCUCCAAACAACCACCAAAGGAGAGAAUGCACAAACAACAAGUCCUUCCCAGCAUAUAAAUGAUCUGAAGAGGGCUUCAGAGAGCCAGUCUUUCAACAGCAGCAGUGUACUCCUCUCAGUACACUAACAAAGGCUGACAGACAGAUGUGCGGUGCACAUCCGCAGCACCUCUGGGAGAGCGGCAAUGGGCGAAAGAUGCCAGAGAGCAGACAGCUGUCAGGCUCGAGCGAUGCAUCCCGAGCAACCUCCCCGUCAACCAGGAGGACAGCGAAGGAGGCUGCGUUUGACCUGCCAAUACUGCUGUCAGAGGCGCCAGAACUGUGGACACUCCCACCUCUUAUCAGUCAGCAGUGGAGUUCAGCCGAGGAACCUACAGGCAGGCUUUAUGGCAGCUGAAAAAGCUGGAGGCGACACUCUGCUGAUGGGAGAGAGAUGAAAAAGAGGCUUCCUCUCAUCAUGCCUUCAUCACCAUAGCACCGGAGGAUGCCGAGAGAGGCAGAGAAUUAUGGCAGCUCCGGGGAGAGUAAAUCUUCAAGACCCGCUCUCUCUCAUGCUCCCAGGUUUGACCAUUAAUUUAAAUCACAGCGGGAGGGGAGGGGGUUUGUGCACAUCUGUGUAGAUGCCGGCUGGAGCUGAAUUAGUGUGACCAUGUACUGUGUAAGCCGAGCGAAUGAGGGAUCGGAUUGCUCGCAAAGAUGAGGAGGGAUAAACCACCGACAAGCAUCACCAGCUGAUACAGA